rnacentral:rRNA from 1 species
CAGCACCUCAAGUGGUCAGGAUGAUUAUUGGGCCUAAAGCAUCCGUAGCCGGCGCUGUAAGUUUUCGGUUAAAUCUGUACGCUCAACGUACAGGCUGCCGGGAAUACUGCAGCGCUAGGGAGUGGGAGAGGUAGACGGUACUCGGUAGGAAGGGGUAAAAUCCUUUGAUCUAUUGAUGACCACCUGUGGCGAAGGCGGUCUACCAGAACACGUCCGACGGUGAGGGAUGAAAGCUGCGGGAGCAAACCGGAUUAGAUACCCGAGUAGUCC